CCCGCCCCGCCGCCCGCAGUGUUUACCCGUGUUUGGGUAGCAACUGGGCUUUAAAGGGGCCGGACGCCCUUCCCCCGCCGGCCCCGCGUCACCUGAGGUGACUCUUCCCUCCGCCGGCGGCCUCCCGGCCCGACCCCCGCCCGCCCCCCUGCUCCCGCCGCCCCUCCGGGAGCCCCGCGCACCCCGCCGCGGUUCGGGACCCUGCGCGCCGCGGACACCUCACCCCGCCGCCUUUUAUUUCCCCCUUAAAACGCUUUAAAAGACCCCGGAGCGUGGCCGUUUGGCGGUCGCCCGCGUGUCCGAGAGGAGCCGCGCGUGCAGACCCCCUCGAAAGUAAUGGAGGAACUCCUACAGGCCGGUAAAUCGUAGCUUGCAAACUGGAAAUUAUCAGUGGAGAAGGCCUCAUUCCUGUUUCCGCCACAUCAGUUCCAUUUCCAUGUGAAACUUUGAUAGUGAAAACAUGGUAACCAAGGAUGACUGGUCACAACAUUUCCAAAUACCAGUGCAAAGGAGACUUCAGCUAUUAAAGGAACAAAAAUGGCCCUCAGCUAUAUCUGCUUGCACAUCUGAGUUACAGCAUCUGACUGUGAACUGGACCUGCUGAAGGGGUAUGGUCCCUUUUGCCAAUUCACCUCCAGAAACAUUUGGCAAGGAGGUGGAAGACGCAGCUGGAAUGGUGAACAGCCUCCACAGGAUUUACCAAAGGAGUCCUGUCAAAUCUUCUAGUAGCAUAACCUUCCGAUGCCAUGUGACACUGUUUAAAUACUGGCAAAGGAAAGGAUUAUUAAACAGGAUCCUUAACCAGGAUGGACAUGGACUUCAUCAACAAAAAACAACUUAAAACCAGAAAUAAAUGGAUCCUCUCUGGCACUACCUGAAAGCUUUUGUGUGGAAUCCCACAAAGUAAGCAAGUGUACUGCUUCCUAGCUUUCCUCAGGCUGGCACUUGUGGUGGCUUUUCUUCAGCUGGUGCUUUUGUCUCCCAUGGGAUAAUAGUUACAGUGUUCUUAGCAGCUGAAAACUUAGGCUCACCUGCUUUUCUUUCAGUGAAAGGAUCUAAGACUUUUUCUUCCAAGGUUGGAUCUUUAUUUGAAGGGAGUUCCAGCAGGUUUCUUAGGUUUCUCAUUUCCUCUUGCUAUUUCUGCUCUCAUCUGUUUUGCAAAUGGCCAUCAUAAUACUAAGCUUAUCUAAUGGCCAGGCCUCCUCCUGGAAGAGUGCCAGCAGUGUACUGAAAAACCAGCCGUCUGAAAGCAUUCAGAGUAGAUGGCCAUCACCUUCUCCCUGAACCCCAAACAUAAAACUUCCCUGAUAAGCACAUACUCCAAUGACACGAAAAGCAGGAGGUUACUCUUAAAUCCAGAUAUCACUUUAACCAGCCUCCUGGGGUGGCAGUCAGGCACUUUUCGAAAUUAGUCUCACUCCACAAAUUUUUUUUGUUGGUGUUCGGAAAAAGGUGUUACAUGUUCAUAUGGUAAAGAGGGAACGUCCCCACGGUGGCUUCUCUGUGAACAUUUUCCCUCCUACAGUUGCUUCUCACUCUUGUUAACUGUGACCCUUCUCUCCCUCACUGUGGUAGGGUGUAUUUUGGGUCCAGCUACUCCUAGCUUUUGAUGUCAGGGCAGUGAGUGGAGGUACAGAAGUGGCAGUUCCUGGGAUCAGUGAAACUUAGGGGCUUUUCCUGCUGAGAAGGUGGCAAGGGCAGAGCAACUUACUUUUCCUUGGUAAGGGGAAGUCUGUGAAAAUGCAAGAUUUCUUGCAGGUCUUUAUGCACAGACAUACAUGGAAAACAAAAUCUUGUUAACUUUGCUAUUGACCUUGGUGAGAUCUGGAUUUUAUCCAAAAGGAGGAAGUCAGUAGGAGUUCUGGGUCUCCAAUUUAGAAAUUUGAGAAGAUGCCUAAAAAAAAAUGCCCAAGGUCUGCAUAAGACACCCUGAGGACAUAAAAUGUAGCAGUAAAGGUUCACACGAGAACUUAACCUUGUAAAAAGAAAAACAGGAGAAGUUUGUCGUCAUACCUUGGUUUAUCAGUCAGAACCUAAGAAGGAAGAUUCAAGAGUUUUGUCUCUACAUCUCUUAGAGGAACCAGCUCUGUAGGAAUGGAGGACUGGGGUCUGAGUGAAAAAUCAUGCCUUGUUUGGACUUCUGUUUCCCCAAAGAAAAGGAAUUUUGACCUUUGCUGGAGACCUGGAGAAAGAAACAGCAGGCCAGAAAGGAGAAACAGAAGUAUGAAGACAUCUGCACAGCAAGAAUAAGAGAAGCAGUUCUCAGCUAGCCCAUUUUGGAAAAAGGGUUGACAACAGCAUGGGAGGAGAAAGAUCUGCUGGCCACUGCUUCGUCUCUCUGAAAGGCUGGUUCAGUCAGCACUGAGGGAGACCUAUGGGGAGCUUGCUGGGAAAACAGUGUUUCCCAGCGCCCAGGGAUCCCACUGUCUCAGCACUGUAGGAUUUGCUACUUACCAUGUCCGAAGGCUGCUGACUCAGCCACCGAGCAUCAGUCUAAUACUUUCCAGUCUGCUAUACCAGAGGAAAUACAAAGCCAGGAAUGCAUGACAAAACUAAAGAAGGUAUCAUAGUAUGCAAGGUAAACUCCUUUCUGUUCCAAAAAAAGGAAAAAAGAAAAGUCAUCCACUUCAUAUUGUUUUAUUAAACUAAGUAGACUAAAUAAUGCUUUGGCUUGGUUUAUUUAUUUAAUUAAAUAACAUUUAUUUAGAGGGAUGCUUUAUGUAAGUGACUUUAAUCAAAAAUCAAGCUUAACACAAUAGAGAGAUUGUCAGCUGGGAUAAACUGGCACAGCUCUGUGGGUGUCAACUGCUGACUUACACCGGCUGUGGGGCUGGGGCUGCCUCAGCACGGUCAUUUGUUGAUUAAACAAACUUUCCUAAGGCUGAGGAAUCCAAAUAACGGCAAUAAGGCUCACUCCGGCUUCUAACUCAUGCGAUAAGGUCUUGUGCUGGUCUUCCCAUCAUAGGACUAAGGCAAACAAACACAGCUAGAAUUUCUGGAAUCUAUUGCCUUUUUGAAGGGUAUUAUUUAAAAAUUAGACUGCAAGAGAUUAUUACCAGAAGCACAAGACUUUAGAACAGACUUCCUAGAAACAAAACAAGUUUGGGGAAAACCCCUCAAACAAUCCCCCUUACUGUAAGGCACCUGUUCUCCUUAAAACACUUUUUUUUAGUGGAAGUCACCCCAGCUGAAUUAAAUUUGUUUCCCUUGGGCCUGCAUUUUCUUUAGCCAACACAACAGCUGCACCAUGUGGAGAUGAGCCACAAGAAGUGUAACAACACAUGUUUGUGAUUGCUGUAUCAGCUUUGGCAGAUUUAAGUGCAGAGGUCUUUAGCUGCCUUCUAUUAGAAAGCCAGCUUUACAAUAUAUACAACAUCUUGCAAAGUAGCAGCAACAAUAUAUAUAGUUUUAUGUAUUUCUUGUACAUGCUGGUACAGUAAAACCAGAAAGGAACUGACUAUUACUUAUAGCUAUAAAUAUUGUAUUAAGCACAAACAUUUUCUUUUGCACGUCAUGUAAAAAUAGGAGCAGAACAGGAGGAUGGGUUAACUGCAGUUAAAAAAAUCCCCAGAGGCGCACUGUGCUAGCUGUUAUCCAGCCCUGCAGAGAUAUGCAGCCAUUCAGAAUUUGCAGUAACCCUGUUAUUUUGAAGCUGCAGUAAGUUUAAUCUCUCCAAGAAAUUGCUGAAUUCCUGGAAAAUAGUGCAUAAUCGUUGUGCAGAGUACUUUUUUUUUUUCUUUCUUAUUUUAAGAACAGGUGCUAAAAACUGGUCUUGGGAGCCCAAUUCAAUAUGCUUUAGAACAGGGCUUUAGCGUCUGCUUUUGAGGCAUUUGAUUAAGACUUGCUGAAUAUCCUGCAUCUUUCAAAAUGAAGUGACUUCAGGUAUUUGUUUUUGAAAGGUCAUUUUGAAACUUUAAAUCAAACACCAAUAAUACAGCAUAAAUCAAGCAUUUGUAUUUAUAAUGUGUUGUUCCUGUUACUUUAUGUGUAACUAGUACUGUAGAUAUUUGUGGGUGUUCUUUCUUACACAGUUGUUUGACUUUAAUCUGCCUCUACAUAAUCUUGCUUAAAAUUAUCAUACCAUUUAAAAAGUCCUCAAAUAGCACAACAUUGCAUAAAUGUCUCCGUGACUCAGGACAGCAAAUUUUCUCAGCAUCUAAAAUUUCAAAUUCUUAGUUUCAUUUCCACAAUAAGGGGACCAUCUGUAUACUGUUUAUUUUAUAUCUUUGACUGUAUUAUUCCUAAUCGAAUAAACUUAUGACAUAUUAUUAAGAGGUUAUGUCAAAUAAA